rfam:Gossypium arboreum cultivar AKA8401 contig_5055_5, whole genome shotgun sequence.
AAGCCAUGAUAUGGACACUUAUGUAUAAUGAGCUUAACGCGCUCCCAUGCCUUGUAUAGUGAUUCCCCUUCUAAUUUUUGAAAAUUUGUAAUACCCAUUCAAAGCUU